GGUGCCCUCUAUUGCGACCCGGUCGGAAUAGUCACUUAAGGAAGUGACUAUUCCGACCGGGUCGCAAUAGAGGGUACCCUA
rnacentral:pre_miRNA from 1 species